rnacentral:rRNA from 1 species
UGACCUCAGAUCAGGUAGGACUACCCGCUGAACUUAA